UACAGAGGUCUCAAGCGUUGUUCGGAUUCAUUGGGCGUAAAGGGUGCGUAGGCGGCGCGGUAAGUCGGGUGUGAAAUCUCGGGGCUUAACUCCGAAACUGCAUUCGAUACUGCCGGUGCUUGAGGACUGGAGAGGAGACUGGAAUUUACGGUGUAGCGGUGAAAUGCGUAGAUAUCGUAAGGAAGACCAGUGGCGAAGGCGGGUCUCUGGACAGUUCUGACGCUGAGGCAACGAAGGCCAGGGGAGCAAACGGGG
rnacentral:rRNA from 1 species